rnacentral:rRNA from 1 species
GUUAGCGACAGAAGAAGCACCGGCUAACUCCGUGCCAGCAGCCGCGGUAAUACGGAGGGUGCGAGCGUUAAUCGGAAUUACUGGGCGUAAAGCGCAUGCAGGUGGUUUGUUAAGUCAGAUGUGAAAGCCCGGGGCUCAACCUCGGAAUAGCAUUUGAAACUGGCAGACUAGAGUACUGUAGAGGGGGGUAGAAUUUCAGGUGUAGCGGUGAAAUGCGUAGAGAUCUGAAGGAAUACCGGUGGCGAAGGCGGCCCCCUGGACAGAUACUGACACUCAGAUGCGAAAGCGUGGGGAGCAAACAGGAUUAGAUACCCUGGUAGUCCACGCCGUAAACGAUGUCUACUUGGAGGUUGUGGCCUUGAGCCGUGGCUUUCGGAGCUAACGCGUUAAGUAGACCGCCUGGGGAGUACGGUCGCAAGAUUAAAACUCAAAUGAAUUGACGGGGGCCCGCACAAGCGGUGGAGCAUGUGGUUUAAUUCGAUGCAACGCGAAGAACCUUACCUACUCUUGACAUCCAGAGAACUUUCCAGAGAUGGAUUGGUGCCUUCGGGAACUCUGAGACAGGUGCUGCAUGGCUGUCGUCAGCUCGUGUUGUGAAAUGUUGGGUUAAGUCCCGCAACGAGCGCAACCCUUAUCCUUGUUUGCCAGCGAGUAAUGUCGGGAACUCCAGGGAGACUGCCGGUGAUAAACCGGAGGAAGGUGGGGACGACGUCAAGUCAUCAUGGCCCUUACGAGUAGGGCUACACACGUGCUACAAUGGCGCAUACAGAGGGCAGCCAACUUGCGAAAGUGAGCGAAUCCCAAAAAGUGCGUCGUAGUCCGGAUUGGAGUCUGCAACUCGACUCCAUGAAGUCGGAAUCGCUAGUAAUCGUGGAUCAGAAUGCCACGGUGAAUACGUUCCCGGGCCUUGUACACACCGCCCGUCACACCAUGGGAGUGGGCUGCAAAAGAAGUAGGUAGUUUAACCUUCGGGGGGACGCUUACCACUUUGUGGUUCAUGACUGGGGUGAAGUCGUAACAAGGUAGCGCUAGGGGAACCUGGCGCUG